UACGUAGGGGGCAAGCGUUAUCCGGAAUUACUGGGUGUAAAGGGUGAGUAGGCGGCAUGGUAAGCCAGAUGUGAAAGCCUUGGGCUUAACCCGAGGAUUGCAUUUGGAACUAUCAAGCUAGAGUACAGGAGAGGAAAGCGGAAUUCCUAGUGCAGCGGUGAAAUGCGUAGAUAUUAGGAAGAACACCAGUGGCGAAGGCGGCUUUCUGGACUGAAACUGACGCUGAGGCACGAAAGCGUGGGGAGCGAACAGG
rnacentral:rRNA from 1 species